rnacentral:snRNA from 1 species
GUGCUUGCUUUGGCAGCACAUAUACUAAAAUUGGAAUGAUACAGAGAAGAUUAGCUUAGCCCCUGCACAAGAAUGACACACAAAUUCAUGAAGCAUUCCAUAUUAAA